rnacentral:sRNA from 1 species
ACUAAUUUUUUUUCAACAGCGUUUUGAUGCCAAUCAUGACAACAGAAUCUCAAGGCAAGAGUACGCCAAGGAGGUGGAGACUCACCAUGAGAACAAUCUUCAAGCUCACUCCAUCCUCCUGAGGCUCUUUGACGCCCUAGAUUUUGACAACGACAACCACAUCGACGGCCCUGAUUACUCUGACCUCUUCAUAGCUGCCGAUAUCAACAACAACCGACUGGUCAGCCAGCAGGAGUUCCUUAGAUAUUUUUACGAUUUGACUGGAAUCGACCCAGUUGGCAAAUAAAACAAGAAUCUAUAGUGAAGACAUCAUUUAUAUAUUUUUUUUAAUACAUGUUGAAUAAAAAUAAAAAAA